UACGAAGGGUGCAAACGUUGCUCGGAAUUAUUGGGCGUAAAGAGCUCGUAGGCGGCUCAGUAAGUCGGGUGUGAAACCUCCAGGCUCAACCUGGAGACGCCAUCCGAUACUGCUGUGGCUAGAGUCCGGUAGGGGAGCGUGGAAUUCCUGGUGUAGCGGUGAAAUGCGCAGAUAUCAGGAGGAACACCAGCGGCGAAGGCGGCGCUCUGGGCCGGAACUGACGCUGAGGAGCGAAAGCGUGGGGAGCGAACAGG
rnacentral:rRNA from 1 species